CCUACGGGUGGCAGCAGUCGAGAAUCAUUCACAAUGGGGGAAACCCUGAUGGUGCGACGCCGCGUGGGGGAAUGAAGUUCUUCGGAUUGUAAACCCCUGUCAUGUGGGAGCAAAUUAAAAAGAUAGUACCACAAGAGGAAGAGACUGCUAACUCUGUGCCAGCAGCCGCGGUAAUACAGAGGUCUCAAGCGUUGUUCGGAAUCACUGGGCGUAAAGCGUGCGUAGGCUGUUUCGUAAGUCGUGUGUGAAAGGCGCGGGCUCAACCCGCGGACGGCACAUGAUACUGCGAGACUAGAGUAAGGGAGGGGGAACCGGAAUUCUCGGUGUAGCAGUGAAAUGCGUAGAUAUCGAGAGGAACACUCGUGGCGAAGGCGGGUUCCUGGACAUUAACUGACGCUGAGGCACGAAGGCCAGGGGAGCGAAAGGGAUUAGAUACCCCAGUAGUC
rnacentral:rRNA from 1 species